AUGAAGACAGACUGGGGAGCUCUGCUGGGGCUUCUGUGGGUCCAUGUUUGCUGGGUGAGAGGGAUGACGGUGAAGCAGAGCCCUUCAGACCUAAGCCUCCAGGAGGGAGCCAGCUCUACUCUCAAGUGCAAUUUUUCUAGCACAGUGAACAGAGUGCAGUGGUUCCGACAGAAUCCCGGGGGCGGCAGCUUCACCUCAUUGUUUUACAUAUUUUCGGGGAUGAAGCAGAGUGGAAGGUUAACCUGCACAGUGAAUACUAAGGAACAGUCCAGCACCCUCCAUAUCACGGCCUCCCGACUGGAAGACUCAGCCACCUACCUGUGUGCGGGGGAGGCACAGUGCUCCCCUGUGAUCUGCAGCCUGCACCCAAACUGCAGCUGCGCCUGCAGCCCCCGCCUCUCCCUGGGGUGGGCCUUUGCCCCCACAGCAGCCUUCGCAUAUUUUUAGACUUAUGUUACAGCAUUUUUUUUCCUUCUAA